rnacentral:rRNA from 1 species
GAUGAACGCUGACAGAAUGCUUAACACAUGCAAGUCAACUGUGGCGGACGGGUGAGUAACGCGUAAAGAACUUGCCUCACGGAUAGGGACAACAUUUGGAAACGAAUGCUAAUACCUGAUACUGUGAGAGAGCUUUGCGUCCCAUUAGCUAGUGGGAGUGGUAACGGCCCACCAAGGCGAGGAUGGGUAGCCGGCCUGAGAGGGUGAUCGGCAACAAGGGGACUUGGACACGGCCCGUACGCCUACGGGGGGCAGCAGUGGGGAAUAUUGGACAAGUGACCAAAGUCUGAUCCAGCAAUUCUGUGUGCACGAUGAAGUUUUCGGAAGGUAAAGUGCUUUCAGUUGGGAAGCGGUACCAACAGAAGAAGCGCCGGCUAACUCCGUGCCAGCAGCCGCGGUAAUUC